rnacentral:rRNA from 1 species
UGAGCAAUCUGCCCUUCUCUUCGGAAUAAGCGUUGGAAAUGACGUCUAAUGCCGAAUACGACCUCCUUUCGCAUGAUCGGAGGUGGAAAGCUCCGGCGGAGAAGGAUGAGCUCGCGGCCUAUCAGCUAGUUGGUGUGGGUAAUGGCCCACCAAGGCGACGACGGGUAGCCGGCCUGAGAGGGUGUCCGGCCACACUGGGACUGAGAUACGGCCCAGACUCCUACGGGAGCAG